rnacentral:rRNA from 1 species
GGAGUCUAACAUGUGUGCGAGUGUUCGGGAUUCGAAUCCCAAGCGCGAAAUGAAAGUAAAGUCCUUCUUAGGAUGAGGUAGGAUGGGUGAGCAAUUGCCCUGCACUAUCGACCGACCAUGCUUCUACGGAAAAAAGGUUUGAGUGUGAGCAUACAUGUUGGGACCCGAAAGAUGGUGAACUAUGCCUGCAUAGGACGAAGCCAGGGGAAACUCUGGUGGAGGUCCGUAGCGAUUCUAACGUGCAAAUUGAUCGUCGAAUGUGGGUAUAGGGGCGAAAGACUAAUCGAACCAUCUAGUAGCUGGUUCCUCCCGAAAUUUCCCUUAGGAUAGCUGCAACCGAACAGUUUUAUCAGGUAAAGCGAAUGAUUAGAGGCCUCAGGGGUGAAACGUCCUUGACCUAUUCUCAAACUUUAAAUGGGUAAGAGCCCCGGGUUGCUUGAGUGAACCUGGUGGUGGAAUGAACGGUUGCUAGUGGGCCAAUCUGGGUAAGCUAGAUUGGCGAUGCGGGAUGAUCCGAACGUUGAGUUAAAGUGCCAAAGUGUCCGCUAACCUAGAUCCCACAAAAGGUGUUGGUUCAUUAAGACAGCAGGACGGUGGCCAUGGAAGUC